GACGAACGCUGGCGGCGUGCUUAACACAUGCAAGUCGAGCGGUAAGGCCCUUUCGGGGGUACACGAGCGGCGAACGGGUGAGUAACACGUGGGUGACCUGCCCUCAGCUCUGGGAUAAGCCUGGGAAACCGGGUCUAAUACUGGAUAUGACUCCAUGACGCAUGUUGUGGGGUGGAAAGCCUUGUGCGGCUGAGGAUGGGCCCGCGGCCCAUCAGCUUGUUGGUGGGGUGAGGCCUACCAAGGCGACGACGGGUAGCCGGCCUGAGAGGGCGACCGACCACACUGGGACUGAGACACGGCCCAGACUCCUACGGGAGGCAGCAGUGGGGAAUCUUGCGCAAUGGGCGAAAGCCUGACGCAGCGACGCCGCGUGAGGGAUGACGGCCUGG
rnacentral:rRNA from 1 species